UACGUAGGUGGCGAGCGUUGUCCGGAUUUACUGGGCGUAAAGGGCUUGUAGGCGGUCCGCUAAGUCUGGUGUGAAAUCUCCCGGCUCAACUGGGAGGGGUCAUCGGAUACUGGCGGACUCGAGGGAGAUAGAGGAAAGCGGAACUGAUGGUGGAGCGGCGAAAUGCGUUGAUAUCAUCAGGAGCACCGGUGGCGAAGGCGGCUUUCUGGGUCUUACCUGACGCUGAGGAACGAAAGCCAGGGGAGCGAACGGG
rnacentral:rRNA from 1 species